CCUACGGGAGGCAGCAGUGGGGAAUAUUGCGCAAUGGGGGCAACCCUGACGCAGCGACGCCGUGUGGGUGAUGAAGGCCUUCGGGUUGUAAAGCUCUGUUUAGGGGGAAGAUAGUGACGGUACCCCUGGAGGAAGCCCCGGCUAACUACGUGCCAGCAGCCGCGGUAAUACGUAGGGGGCGAGCGUUGUCCGGAAUUAUUGGGCGUAAAGGGCGUGUAGGCGGUUAUGCAAGUCGGCUGUGAAAUUCCCCGGCUUAACCGGGGGCUUGCAGUUGAAACUGUGUGGCUUGAGUGCUGGAGAGGAAAGCGGAAUUCCUAGUGUAGCGGUGAAAUGCGUAGAUAUUAGGAGGAACACCAGUGGCGAAGGCGGCUUUCUGGACAGUAACUGACGCUGAGGCGCGAAAGCGUGGGGAGCAAACAGGAUUAGAUACCCUGGUAGUCCACGCCGUAAACGAUGGAUACUAGGUGUAGGAGGUAUCGACCCCUUCUGUGCCGGAGUUAACACAAUAAGUAUCCCACCUGGGGAGUACGGCCGCAAGGUUGAAACUCAAAUGAAUUGACGG
rnacentral:rRNA from 1 species